CGCGGCCUAUCAGCUUGUUGGUGGGGUGAUGGCCUACCAAGGCGACGACGGGUAGCCGGCCUGAGAGGGUGACCGGCCACACUGGGACUGAGAUACGGCCCAGACUCCCACGGGAGGCAGCAGUGGGGAAUAUUGCACAAUGGGCGCAAGCCUGAUGCAGCGACGCCGCGUGAGGGAUGACGGCCUUCGGGUUGUAAACCUCAUUCAAUAGGGACGAAGCGCAAGUGACGGUACCUAUAGAAGAAGGACCGGCCAAUUACGUGCCAGCAGCCGCGGUAAUACGUAGGGUCCGAGCGUUGUCCGGAAUUACUGGGCGUAAAGAGCUCGUAGGUGGUUUGUCGCGUUGUCCGUGAAAACUCACAGCUUAACUGUGGGCGUGCGGGCGAUACGGGCAGACUGGAGUACUGCAGGGGAGACUGGAAUUCCUGGUGUAGCGGUGGAAUGCGCAGAUAUCAGGAGGAACACCGGUGGCGAAGGCGGGUCUCUGGGCAGUAACUGACGCUGAGGAGCGAAAGCGUGGGGAGCGAACAGGAUUAGAUACCCUGGUAGUCCACGCCGUAAACGGUGGGUACUAGGUGUGGGUUUCCUUCAUUGGGAUCCGUGCCGUAGCUAACGCAUUAAGUACCCCGCCUGGGGAGUACGG
rnacentral:rRNA from 1 species